rnacentral:rRNA from 1 species
AGUGCUCGAGUGGCGAACGGGUGAGUAACACGUGGGCAAUCUGCCCUGCACUCUGGGAUAAGCCUGGGAAACUGGGUCUAAUACCGGAUAGGACCUUUCUCCUCAUGGGGUUUGGUGGAAAGUUUUUCGGUGCAGGAUGAGCCCGCGGCCUAUCAGCUUGUUGGUGGGGUAAUGGCCUACCAAGGCGACGACGGGUAGCCGGCCUGAGAGGGUGAUCGGCCACAUUGGGACUGAGAUACGGCCCAGACUCC